UUGGAGCUGUUUGUUUAGCUGCUCCUGCCACAGGUGUUUAGUGUCAUAUUUUUAGGUUAUCUUUUUGCGUUUCUUUGUUGAUUAAUCUGCGAAGAUAACAGACUACUCACUCACGGGGAAGAUGGUAGCUAUUUAUUGUAGUGUGGACGGCUGUUGGAAAAGUUCUGCUUCAAAGCACCAGUUUCCAAAUCCAGUUAAAAAUAAGGAAUUAUGUGACGAAUGGAUUUGUUUGACUGGGAACAAGCGUCUUCUUGAGAUGACCACAGAAAAGAUAUUUUCGAACUGUCGUGUUUGCUCUCUCCAUUUUAAAAGUGAAGAUUUUGGACCAAACAGAAGGUUAAAACGUGGUGUUAAACCAUCUCAAAAUUUGCCAUUGCCCUUACAAAUUAACCAAUUGAGUGAUAAUCCAUCUACUUCAUAAUAACCAAUUGCUUACCAUGCAAAGUUAUGUGGCUCCUCCCAUUAUUGAGCCAUUCUCAUUGUGUAGCAGUGUUACUAGUCCACCUUCUGCUAUGUAAAAAGUAGUCAGAGCCAAGAACGUUUAACCUGGACCCAAUUUAAAACUUAUUUUGCAAAAUUCCACAAAAAGGGCAUCGACAUAUAAAUCUAAGGGCCACCGAUGUUACUGCCUUAAGUUAACUGUUAAAGUUUAUUAUUAAAUUGGUUAACGUCAUCUCAUUCAGUUGGAGCAAAUUGUGCAGAAGAUAACUCCAAAUUUGUUCUAUCACUUCAAACACUGGUUUCCCAGUAACCCACAAAGCUAGAGAUGUAUAGUAGGAGUGUACGGUUAAAGCACUUCAUUUGAAUUGUACGAAGCGAAAUAAACACGGUGAUGAUUAAUCUCCACUAUGUUUACUUUAUUAUGUUGCACAUAAUUGCAAGAAAGAUAGACUUCUACAUAUACUUAUAUUUGUGGGUUUAAUAUGGUUUGCCAGAAGAUGAAAACGAGUUACUAAAGCAGAUCUACACGAUGGUAUUAACCAAUGUUAAACUUUAGGCAAAAUCUGUUGAAGCUGGUGCACUGAAAUAUGUGUCAGGAUAUUUAGCUAAAAAAAUCGACAAACAAGCAUGUGGUUGUCACAAUUUGUUUUUGAUACACCAACUAAGGAGCGCAGGGACUUUAGGAAUUUAAAAUGUCAUUGUACGAAAAUAUUAAGAUAUGUAAGUAAAACCGUUUUUAACAAAGUGUGUUUAGAGUUAUCAAUAAUUAAAUAUAUUUGUCUCUAAUGUGGAAACUUUGCAAAGCAGAAUUUCUUUUACUGACUGUUCCCAUGAUUUAUAAUAAUAAAGACAUACAUUUUUAGUUACUUUAUAAAA